rnacentral:lncRNA from 1 species
GCUACACAAAAUACUAUCACGAUUAUUUUCCAUUGUGAAAUAAGAACAGUCAAAAGUACUAUCGCGUCAUCAACUACUCAAAACAUUAGCUAUACUAUCCUUGGGAAUAUGUGACUAUUUCUCCUACUUAACUCCUAGAAUGUAUCCAACAUGUUGCUUGAUUUAACGUUGCUUUACUCUCCUUCUGCUCCUCUUGUGAAUCGAUCAUGGUCGAUGUAGCAAGCACUCGAAGGUGUCUCGAUCGUCGCCUUUUUGUGUUAACAGCGUUGUCACUUUGAACAGGUAUGGUCGAUGUCAAUGGUACAUCAUUGCGUA